GGAAAAGCCCAUAAAUGCUCCACCAACCAAAAACACACGCACGCAAAAUAAAAAGCUGGAGCCUUUAGACGAUCAGGGAGUCAAAGCUGUUAAACAUAGCCAGUCGCAGCCUAAUCAUCGUUUCUCUCUGAAAAAUCAGAGGAAACGAAACCAUGAAACUCUCCUUCUCUCUGCCACCCAAAUCCUCUUCAAAAUCAAACCCUAAACGCAAACCCUCAACCACCGCCACUACCUUCGACGACGGCAAUGGCAACCCAAACGACGCCGCUUCGAAACACUUCGUCAACGAAUUCGACGCCUCCAAAACCCUAUCCACCGACCCCAAAACCCGCGUAAUCGCUCCGAUCCCGAACGAGUGGCAGCCCCACAAGAAGAUGAAGAAUCUCGAGCUUCCAAUCACCGAGCCCGGAGGCCAAGAACUUAAGUUCGAGGUCGAGACGCUAUCGGUCAACGACGACCCCGAUGCGAAGAUUUCGUACGGUCUCAAUGUGCGGCAGAAAUUGGGUGCGGAAUCGGAGAAUCGGGACGGUGGUGAUGAACAUCCGAGAUUGAGAGGUGUGGAGGACACUCUGCUUCAGAAAUUUAAAGACGACUUGGAGCGCUUGUCGGAUCACAGGGGCUUGGAGGAGUUUGAUGAGAUGCCGGUAGAGGGUUACGGCGAGGCGUUGCUUUCUGGGUACGGGUGGUACCCGGGAAGAGGGAUUGGAAAGAAUGCUAAGGAAGAUGCGAAGGUUGUAGAGUAUACAAGGAGUACUGAUAGGCACGGGUUAGGGUUUCAUAUGAAUCCGAAGGAGAAAGAGAAAAAGCAAGAGAAAGAGAGAAAGAAAGAUGGGGAUUUGGGUAAGGAGGUGAGGAUUGUUUCGGGUAGAGACUAUGUGGGUUUGAGGGGUAGGAUUGUUGAGAAAUUGGGCAAUGGCAAACUGGUAUUGAAGCUCUCGAGUAGGGGCAAAGAGCAAGAGCAAGAGGUAGUGAAAGUGAAUGUGGAUCAAGUUGCUGAAAUGGGUUCGAAAGAAGAAGAGAAGUGCUUGAAGAGAUUGAAGGAAGCCCAAAGGAAAGUGGGUAGUGAUAGUAAGCCAAGACGAGAAGAGCAGAGGGUUUAUUCAACGUGGCUUGCCCGUCACAUUCGAGUUAGGGUUAUAAGCAAGGACUUGAAAGGUGGGAAAUUGUAUUUGAAAAAAGGGGAGGUGAUGGAUGUCGUUGGACCCAAAACUUGUGAUAUAUCUAUGGAUGGGAGUAGGGAGCUUGUGCAGGGGGUGUCCCAGGAUCUUCUUGAGACUGCGCUGCCAAGACGGGGCGGAUCCGUCCUUGUGUUGUCUGGAAAGCACAAGGGGGUCUUUGGCAAUCUUGUUGAGAAGGAUUCAGACCGAGAAACUGGUGUUGUCAGAGAUGCUGAUACCCAUGAAUUGCUCAAUGUGAGUCUUGAGCAGAUUGCUGAGUUUACUGGCGAUCCCAGCGACCUUGGAUAUUGAUUCAUAGAGGUAUUUCAACUUAUCAAAUUGCUGGGUGUAUAUACAUAUGAUAUGGAGACACCAUCAAUCCAGUUUGAUACCUUCUGUGUUAAUGGGGGUCCUGAUGGGAUAUAUUAGUGGCAUGAGGGGAAAGGUUGAAUGCCUUUCAGAGGAAGAUUUGGGGAAAAAAUGAGACAGAGCUAGUAAAGCAGGAGAUGAUCAAAGAGAAGUGUUACCAUUUAUUCCUAAAGAGCCAUAUGAUGUGAUUGCAUGUGAUUGCAAGAGUCACCAUUUCUACAGAUUUGCUCGAGAAUUCCUUAUCCUGGUCCUGAAAACACAGAGAGGUACAAAUCUUACUUGUUGGAAUUUGGACAUGUGGUCCAAACAGAAUCAUUGGCACCCUAUAAGGUCGGAUAGUCGGCUAUCUGCAAUGAUGCUAAUGUUCGGAAUGUGGAAGGCUUGACAAAUGAAUUUUCUGAUCUAGAACUGAAACUUGGAGUAUAACACCUUGCUAGUUUCUUUGCAGAAGAAGCUAUUAUUGAGCUUGCUCCAUAGCGUGUUAAUUAUGUGCAAUUUAAACCAACCCCUUUGUUCUAAUCUCAACAAUUUAGCCCAGAGAGUUUAAAUUGGACUGCUCCUUGUGUUUA